AUGACUUGCGCCAGAAUAGCAUCAUUAAUUGAGAUGCCGCAUGUUGAUCCAUUAAACACCGUCACCACAGGCAUGAAGCAAUUGAACAAAUUUUAUGCACCUUCAGUGAAUGACAGAACAACAUUUUCGUGUGCUCAAAGUUGCCACACUCGCAUAGAAACCGAUCACCCCUCCAUCAACGGUGACCUCAUACACCACCUUGCACCAUUUUGUCAAGCCUCUCCGGAUGGUGCCGCUGCACUAGGUACUUCACGCGUUGCUAAACUGGUUCAACCUUGUACUGCCCUGCUUCGUACAGUAUCUCGCCAAGCUUCUCUAACAUGGGCACUAGUGUACACCUCACUCGCAUGCUGCUCCAAUGGCGUGUUCGCUUUCAUCACCGGUCCUACCUGA
rnacentral:rRNA from 1 species